rnacentral:snRNA from 14 species
GUGCUUUAGCAGCACAUAUACUAAAAUGGGAAUGAUACAGAGAUGAUUGCACAAAGAUGACAUGCAGUAGUUGUUUACUGUUCUCUU